rnacentral:RNase_P_RNA from 1 species
CAAGCAGGCUGGACAGCCGCGCUUCCGGGGCGAAAGGCCCGGAGGUGAGGAAAGUCCGGGCUCCGCAGGGCAAGGAUAACGGGUAACACCCGCCGGGGGCGACCCCAGGAAAAGGGCAACAGAGAUAAACUACCGGUGAACAGCGGACCUUUGGGCCCGUAUGCACCGGAAAAGGUGGAAAGGUGAGGUAAGAGCUCACCCGACGGCGUGGAAGCGUCCGUCGCUGUAAACUCUAUCCGGAGCAACACCGUGGAGGGACAUAUGGUUGGCCCGACCGUCCCAGGGAGGUGGCUGGAGCGCGUCGGCAACGGCGCGUCGAGAUAGAUGGCUGUCUUAAAGGACAGAACCCGGCUUACAGGCUUACUUGCGCA